UACGUAGGGGGCAAGCGUUGACCGGAUUUAUUGGGCGUAAAGAGCGUGUAGGCGGCUUUACAGGUCCGUUGUGAAAACUCGAGGCUCAACCUCGAGACGUCGGCGGAAACCAUCUGGCUAGAGUCCGGAAGAGGAGAGUGGAAUUCCUGGUGUAGCGGUGAAAUGCGCAGAUAUCAGGAAGAACACCCGUGGCGAAGGCGGCUCUCUGGGACGGUACUGACGCUGAGACGCGAAAGCGUGGGGAGCGAACAGG
rnacentral:rRNA from 1 species